AUUGAACGCUGGCGGCAUGCCUUACACAUGCAAGUCGAACGGCAGCAUGGAGAGCUUGCUCUCUGAUGGCGAGUGGCGAACGGGUGAGUAAAGCAUCGGAACGUACCGCGUAGUGGGGGAUAACGUAGCGAAAGUUACGCUAAUACCGCAUACGCACUGAGGUGGAAAGCAGGGGAUCGCAAGACCUUGCGCUAUACGAGCGGCCGAUGUCAGAUUAGCUAGUUGGUAGGGUAAAGGCCUACAAAGGCGACGAUCUGUAGCGGGUCUGAGAGGAUGAUCCGCCACACUGGGACUGAGACACGGCCCAGACUCCUACGGGAGGCAGCAGUGGGGGAAUUUUGGACAAUGGGGGCAACCCUGAUCCAGCCAUGCCGCGUGAGUGAAGAAGGCCUUCGGGUUGUAAAGCUCUUUCGGCCGGGAAGAAAUCGCACAGGCUAAUACUCUGUGUGGAUGACGGUACCGGCAUAAGAAGCACCGGCUAACUACGUGCCAGCAGCCGCAGUAA
rnacentral:rRNA from 1 species